UAAUACAGAGGGUGCAAGCGUUAAUCGGAGUGACUGGGCGUAAAGGGCGUGUAGGUGGAUGGAUAAGUUAUGUGUGAAAUAUCCGGGCUUAACCUGGAGGGGUCAUGUAAUACUGUCUGUCUAGAGUAGAGCAGAGGGAAGUAGAAUUUCCGGUGUAGCGGUGAAAUGCGUAGAGAUCGGAAGGAAUACCAGUGGCGAAGGCGGCUUCCUGGGCUCAUACUGACACUGAGGCGCGAAAGCGUGGGUAGCGAACAGG
rnacentral:rRNA from 1 species